ACCUGUGAGGGUUGCUGGAGGUAUCAGAAGUGCGAAUGCUGACAUAAGUAACGAUAAAGCGGGUGAAAAGCCCGCUCGCCGGAAGACCAAGGGUUCCUGUCCAACGUUAAUCGGGGCAGGGUGAGUCGACCCCUAAGGCGAGGCCGAAAGGCGUAGUCGAUGGGAAACGGGUUAAUAUUCCCGUACUUGGUGUUACUGCGAAGGGGGGACGGAGAAGGCUAUGUUGGCCGGGCGACGGUUGUCCCGGUUUAAGCGUGUAGGUGUGUGUUCCAGGUAAAUCCGGUUCACUUUAACACUGAGGCGUGAUGACGAGGCACUACGGUGCUGAAGCAACAAAUGCCCUGCUUCCAGGAAAAGCCUCUAAGCAUCAGGUAACAUCAAAUCGUACCCCAAACCGACACAGGUGGUCAGGUAGAGAAUACCAAGGCGCUUGAGAGAACUCGGGUGAAGGAACUAGGCAAAAUGGUGCCGUAACUUCGGGAGAAGGCACGCUGACACGUAGGUGAAGUGAUUUACUCACGGAGCUGAAGUCAGUCGAAGAUACCAGCUGGCUGCAACUGUUUAUUAAAAACACAGCACUGUGCAAACACGAAAGUGGACGUAUACGGUGUGACGCCUGCCCGGUGCCGGAAGGUUAAUUGAUGGGGUCAGCGCAAGCGAAGCUCCUGAUCGAAGCCCCGGUAAACGGCGGCCGUAACUAUAACGGUCCUAAGGUAGCGAAAUUCCUUGUCGGGUAAGUUCCGACCUGCACGAAUGGCGUAAUGAUGGCCAGGCUGUCUCCACCCGAGACUCAGUGAAAUUGAACUCGCUGUGAAGAUGCAGUGUACCCGCGGCAAGACGGAAAGACCCCGUGAACCUUUACUAUAGCUUGACACUGAACAUUGAGCCUUGAUGUGUAGGAUAGGUGGGAGGCUUUGAAGUGUGGACGCCAGUCUGCAUGGAGCCGACCUUGAAAUACCACCCUUUAAUGUUUGAUGUUCUAACGUGGACCCGUAAUCCGGGUUGCGGACAGUGUCUGGUGGGUAGUUUGACUGGGGCGGUCUCCUCCUAAAGAGUAACGGAGGAGCACGAAGGUUGGCUAAUCCUGGUCGGACAUCAGGAGGUUAGUGCAAUGGCAUAAGCCAGCUUGACUGCGAGCGUGACGGCGCGAGCAGGUGCGAAAGCAGGUCAUAGUGAUCCGGUGGUUCUGAAUGGAAGGGCCAUCGCUCAACGGAUAAAAGGUACUCCGGGGAUAACAGGCUGAUACCGCCCAAGAGUUCAUAUCGACGGCGGUGUUUGGCACCUCGAUGUCGGCUCAUCACAUCCUGGGGCUGAAGUAGGUCCCAAGGGUAUGGCUGUUCGCCAUUUAAAGUGGUACGCGAGCUGGGUUUAGAACGUCGUGAGACAGUUCGGUCCCUAUCUGCCGUGGGCGCUGGAGAACUGAGGGGGGCUGCUCCUAGUACGAGAGGACCGGAGUGGACGCAUCACUGGUGUUCGGGUUGUCAUGCCAAUGGCACUGCCCGGUAGCUAAAUGCGGAAGAGAUAAGUGCUGAAAGCAUCUAAGCACGAAACUUGCCCCGAGAUGAGUUCUCCCUGAGACUUAG
rnacentral:rRNA from 1 species